CCUACGGGGGGCUGCAGUGAGGAAUAUUGCGCAAUGGAGGCAACUCUGACGCAGCCAUGCCGCGUGCAGGAAGAAGGCGCUACGCGUUGUAAACUGCUUUUAUCCGGGAAGAAACCCUCCGACGUGUCGGAGGUUGACGGUACCGGAGGAAUAAGCACCGGCUAACUUCGUGCCAGCAGCCGCGGUAAUACGAAGGGUGCAAGCGUUAUCCGGAUUCAUUGGGUUUAAAGGGUGCGUAGGCGGAGUGUUAAGUCAGUGGUGAAAUCCUGCAGCUCAACUGUAGACUUGCCAUUGAUACUGACGCUCUUGAGUGCGCUUGAAGUGGGCGGAAUGUGCCGUGUAGCGGUGAAAUGCUUAGAUAUGGCACAGAACACCAAUUGCGAAGGCAGCUCACUAAGGCGAUACUGACGCUGAGGCACGAAAGCGUGGGGAUCGAACAGGAUUAGAUACCCCGGUAGUC
rnacentral:rRNA from 1 species